GCUCUCAUAGCUCAGUCGGUAGGGCAUGGUGCUAAUAACGCCAGGGUCGC
rnacentral:tRNA from 1 species